rnacentral:rRNA from 1 species
ACGCUGGCGGCACGCCUAACACAUGCAAGUCGAACGAAGUAGCAAUACUUAGUGGCAGACGGGUGAGUAACAUGUAGGUAUCUGCCCUUUGGCCUGGAAUAACACGAGGAAACUUGUGCUAAUACUGGAUAAGUCUUUACGGAGAAAGCUUUAUGCACCAUUGGAUGAGCCUGCACUUGAUUAGUUUGUUGGUGGGGUAAUGGCCUACCAAGACUGUGAUCAAUAGCUGAUUUGAGAGGAUGAUCAGCCACAUUGGGACUGAGACACGGCCCAAACUCCUACGGGAGGCAGCAGUGGGGAAUCUUGCACAAUGGAGGAAACUCUGAUGCAGCGAUGCCGCGUGAGUGAAGAAGGCCCUUGGGUUGUAAAGCUCUUUCGUCGGGGAAGAAAAUGACUGUACCCGAAUAAGAAGGUCCGGCUAACUUCGUGCCAGCAGCCGCGGUAAUACGAAGGGACCUAGCGUAGUUCGGAAUUACUGGGCUUAAAGAGUUCGUAGGUGGUUGAAAAAGUUAGUGGUGAAGUCCCAGAGCUUAACUCUGGAACUGCCAUUAAAACUUUUCAGCUAGAGUAUGAUAGAGGAAAGCAGAAUUUCUAGUGUAGAGGUGAAAUUCGUAGAUAUUAGAAAGAAUACCAAUUGCGAAGGCAGCUUUCUGGAUCAUUACUGACACUGAGGAACGAAAGCAUGGGUAGCGAAGAGGAUUAGAUACCCUCGUAGUCCAUGCCGUAAACGAUGUGUGUUAGACGUUGGAAAUUUAUUUUCAGUGUCGCAGGGAAACCGAUAAACACACCGCCUGGGGAGUACGACCGCAAGGUUAAAACUCAAAUGAAUUGACGGGGACCCGCACAAGUAGUGGAGCAUGUGGUUUAAUUCGAAGAUACGCGCAGAACCUUACCAACACUUGACAUGUUCGUCGCGACUCUAAGAGAUUAGAGUUUUCGGUUCGGCCGGACGAAACACAGGUGCUGCAUGGCUGUCGUCAGCUCGUGUCGUGAGAUGUUGGGUUAAGUCCCGCAACGAGCGCAACCCUCACUUUUAGUUGCCAUCAUUAAGUUGGGCACUCUGAAAGAACUGCCAGUGAUAAGCUGGAGGAAGGUGGGGAUGACGUCAAGUCCUCAUGGCCCUUACGUGUUGGGCUACACACGUGCUACAAUGGUAUCUACAACAGGAAGCAAGACGGCGAAGUUAAGCAAAUCCCUAAAAGAUACCUCAGUUCGGAUUGCACUCUGCAACUCGAGUGCAUGAAGCUGGAAUUACUAGUAAUCGUGGAUCAGCGUGCCACGGUGAAUGCGUUCCCGGGUGUUGUACACACCGCCCGUCACACCAUGGGAGUUGGUUCUACCUUAAGGCAAGGUUUUAAACCCUUGACCACGGUAUAGUCAGCGACUGGGGUGAAGUCGUAACAAGGUAGCCGUAGGGAACCUGCGGCUGGAUUACCUCCUUUCU